GUAAUUAAUACACCUGUGCACCUGCUGGGUUACCUGCAAAACAUGCACUGUGUGGGCCCACGAGGACCGAGUUUGAGAACCUCUGCUCCAGCCCAUCUACAGCAGCACAUUUACAUUAUGCAUAUUUAUUCCUAUGUACAGCAGUACAUUUAUAUAUAUUUUGAAAGGGAACGAGUCAGGAAAUGUUAUUGCUGAAAAGAGAUUACAGAUUUUAUCCCAGAACCGCGCUUACAGGUUAAGAUGACAGCCCGUGUUCCCAAAAAAAGCCUUCACCAAGAAGCACUGCUUCUGAGGAAGGUCUUCGGACCGAAAACGCGUUUAAGCAAUUUAUCAUUUGGUAUUCCUGUGUUUUCACUGUUUGGUCAUCGACUCCAUAUCUAAUGUUUCUGGCUGCUGGGAUUUCUUUCUGGAUGCAGAGGGACUUUGGAUCGGUGCUGUGACGGGAUAUCAUUUGACCUACCAUGUGAUUGGUGAUAUAUGCCCUUUAAGUUUUUAAAAUUGUGAGUGUAUUAUUUUAUUAAAUUUUUAUAAGACUA